UUUUAGAUUACAAGAAAACAUUUAUUUAUCUAAGCAAACCACAAAAGCUUAAAGGAUCAUAUUUCAGUACUACUUAUAAUCACAUUUCUUUAUCGGGAAAACAGAACUGAAAAAAGAAGGCAUAUAUCGGACAAAUUUUCCCAUUAGCUUAGUAAACAAUAUAAUAUGGGCCUUCUAAUCCCUCAAUGUACACGUGAAGCCUGGGCAUUCGCUACAAACCGAAAGAACCGAACCGAAUAAACCGACAAAUUCGGUUAUCGGCACCGAUUGUGAGAGGAGAUACAAACCGUUCGGCGAGAUUUUUUUGGGAUUUCAGUAUUCGGUUCGGUUCGGUUCGGCGAGCUGAAACCGAUCGGGUUUCUCAGUUUUACUCUAACCCUUCAGAUUCCGCUCCCAUCCAACGAGAAUCUGACUCAAACUCUGCAAAUCGGCCAUGGAUAACAAUGAGAGGCUAUAAAGAAGACGAUGAAUGUGAAAUAUAUAGUUGCUGUCGAUUUGUGUGUUUAUGGGCUUAAACUUGAUUUUUAUUGUUUCACAACCAAACCCAAUAAAAUGGCUAAAAAUUGAGCCCACUAAAUCAUAUGCCAUAACUAUAUAAAAAAAACCUAGUUUAUCAUUGAUUCUCCAGUCACGACCAUAAUCUUCCUUUUGCCGACAUCAUAUCUAUCGCUUCUUCACAUGUUGCUCAUGAAGUAUUCCUUGCUGAGAGAUCUGAAGCUUCAGUUCUAGUGGGGAUGAUGAUCGAAGGUCAAAGAUUUCGUCGAGAAAGAUUUCUAUGCGGUUAGCUGAUAUCAAGCUUCAUCGGAUGGAGAGAUCGAAUGUGGUACGCCGUCGCCUCACCAUUUUGUCGAAAACCCUAAACGUAGUUGGGUUUGAGUUGUAAUUUUUAGUUGGACAUGUUAUAAGUUUUUAAGGUAUAUAUUUGAGCCCAUUAACA